UACGGAGGGUGCAAGCGUUGUCCGGAAUCACUGGGCGUAAAGGGCGCGUAGGCGGCUCAUGAAGGCUGUGGUGAAAGUCCGGGGCUCAACCUCGGAUCGGCCGUGGCGACUCGUGGGCUGGAGCACUGUAGAGGCGGGUGGAAUUCCUGGUGUAGCGGUGAAAUGCGCAGAUAUCAGGAGGAACACCGGUGGCGAAGGCGGUUCUCUGGGCAUUACCUGACGCUGAGGAGCGAAAGUGUGGGGAGCGAACAGG
rnacentral:rRNA from 1 species